rnacentral:misc_RNA from 1 species
AAGUCGUAACAAGGUUUCCGUAGGUGAACCUGCGGAAGGAUCAUUAAAAAAAUGUCUGGUGCCUCGAUUUGGCAGCAAUGUCAUUCCGAGAGCAACUGUACACACCACUUUGAACCUGCCAUGCUGUGCUCGUAAGAGCCAGUGGGGUGAGGGGAUAAUGUGUCCACCCUCUUGUGAAACUUCUAUAUUUGCUUCGGCAGCGCUCUCAAUGGAAAACUGUUGGCGGGGUAAGGCUGUCAGAAGACCACUAUAAAACUAGUAUUGAUGAAAUGUCAUGCAGUCUGAUAACUAUACUUUGAGAAAUCAAAUUAUGUUAAAACUUUCAGCAACGGAUCUCUUGGUUCUC